UCCGGUUUGUCACCGGCAGUCUCCUUAGAGUUCCCAGCAUAACCUGAUGGCAACUAAGGACAAGGGUUGCGCUCGUUACGGGACUUAACCCAACAUCUCACGACACGAGCUGACGACAGCCAUGCAGCACCUGUCACUGAGCUCCCGAAGGCACACCCGUAUCUCUACAGGCUUCUCAGGAUGUCAAGAGUAGGUAAGGUUCUUCGCGUUGCGUCGAAUUAAACCACAUGCUCCACCGCUUGUGCGGGCCCCCGUCAAUUCAUUUGAGUUUUAACCUUGCGGCCGUACUCCCCAGGCGGUCUACUUAGUGCGUUAGCUGCGCCACCAAAGUCUCAAGGACCCCGACGGCUAGUAGACAUCGUUUACGGCGUGGACUAC
rnacentral:misc_RNA from 1 species